GUGUAUAAGGUCCGAGAACACAAUUAAUUCGUAGUGCAUUUCUUUUAGAACAUAAAUGAAAAUAAAAAAAAAAUCCCACCUGCGCUUUCCCAAUGAAACUUUUACAGUGUGUUGUACUACUUUUGGGACAAAUUAUAUCAAAAUUAUAGAAAACUUCAUCGCCUCUAACUCAAAAUAUGGACAAUUUUGUGUUUAGGGUGUCUUGAAAUCUUUUGACAGCUUCCGAAGUGCUAAUUUUUAACCUUUUUCAGCUAGACCAAAUCACUACUUUCCUGUAAAAUUCUGGACCCAAAUUUUUUUACAGUGUAAUUUCACCCCCCUACUUACAAUUUGAGGCAUUAAACUCGGAGAAAUAAAUUUGGAAGGGGUAUAAAAAUUAUUGGCAAGUAGCCCACUGUUAACACUAGGGACUAUAUUCGUGAACAACGAAAAUCAAGGGACGACAAUUGUGGUCUCGGACCUAAUAGGAUAGAAAGAGUUGACAAAUCUUAAAAAAAACUUGGUAUGACCAAAGCUUAAUUAAUUAUAACACUGCUUGCAAAGUUUCAUAACAAUAGGAUAUAUAUUAUAGACACUAUGUUAAAUUCUAUACUCAUCUUUGCG
rnacentral:lncRNA from 1 species